rnacentral:rRNA from 1 species
UGGGGAAUAUUGCACAAUGGGCGGAAGCCUGAUGCAGCGACGCCGCGUGGGGGAUGAAGGCCUUCGGGUUGUAAACUCCUUUCGACAGGGACGAAGCUUUUGUGACGGUACCUGUAUAAGAAGCACCGGCUAACUACGUGCCAGCAGCCGCGGUAAUACGUAGGGUGCGAGCGUUGUCCGGAAUUACUGGGCGUAAAGAGCUAGUAGGUGGUUUGUCGCGUCGUCUGUGAAAUUCCGGGGCUUAACUCCGGGCGUGCAGGCGAUACGGGCUGACUUGAGUGCUGUAGGGGAGACUGGAAUUCCUGGUGUAGCGGUGAAAUGCGCAGAUAUCAGGAGGAACACCGAUGGCGAAGGCAGGUCUCUGGGCAGUAACUGACGCUGAGGAGCGAAAGCAUGGGUAGCGAACAGG